rnacentral:hammerhead_ribozyme from 1 species
AUCCAUCUGACGAGUCCCAUAUAGGACGAAACGCGCGUCCUGGAU